rnacentral:rRNA from 1 species
UAGGGAAUCUUCGGCAAUGGACGAAAGUCUGACCGAGCAACGCCGCGUGAGUGAAGAAGGUUUUCGGAUCGUAAAACUCUGUUGGUAGAGAAGAACGUUGGUGAGAGUGGAAAGCUCAUCAAGUGACGGUAACUACCCAGAAAGGGAUGGCUAACUACGUGCCAC